UCCUGGGGCUGUCCCCAGCUCAGAUGCUCUCCAAGCCAGGGUCAAAGAAGCUAGAUUCUCUGGCGUCCCAGGACACAGCAACCAUUCACCCAACCCUGCAUGCCUGACUUCCAAGAGCUCAGUCUAGGGCAGACACCGCUGUGCUCUGGGGGGCUGUGGAAGCACAGAGGUAGGAUGGGGAGGAAGCCCAGGGAGAACAGCCUGAGGCCCCAUGGGCACUGCCCCUUCCCACCACAAAUCUCCAGAUUAGAUACUCUCCAGGCAGGGAAGGCCCCUCUGAAAAUGGAGUCUUUAGGCUCAAUAAAUGUGACUGGAUGGAGAGAGAGACAGGAUUAUAAGGGCACAGAGAUGGGAGUUUGGAAACCCAAGUAGGGGCCCAGUUUGGUUUUUUUUGUUUUUUUGCUUUUUUGAGGGGGUCCCUACUCUUCAAUGACUGAGGGGCUCCAAUUGACCCUCUAAUGCUCUGAGACUCAGUCUCCCCCACCUGUUACCUCUAGUCAUUGCAAAAGAGACAGUGGUAAGAACACUUCUGGAAGUUCCAGUUUGGUGGGACAGGUGCUGGGGGCCCUGCUCUGAGGAGCCAGGCCUGCCCACUCAGCACAAGAUGCUGGCAAGGCGUCCUGAGCCUAGGGUGGGCUGGUGAAAAGGAUGAGUCAGGGACUGUCCACAAAUCACCACCCUCACCAGUGUCUGCCUUGCAAUUGACUGGGGUGGUAAGAUAGAUGAGAGCUGCUGCAGGAGAAAUAGCUAAGCUCUCAAGUGCCAGUUACACAGGCCAGGGUUUAGAUGGGGGCACACCCACGCUUCUAGAAUAGCCACCCAAGAGGGAACACAUCAGGGAGAAUUACAGAGCAGUGGGACUGCCCCUGGAAGGCCCUAACCUCCAGCCUCCUUGAACUUGAGCUAAUAAUAAACCUCUUUAGCACUAUGGCAACCUGUCCGGUUUUCUGUUACUUGCAGCUGCUAAUCCAGUGGUGUAAAGUCACCUUGAAUCCCGAAAGCCAUAUGCUGAGGCUGCACCUCUCCUCUGUCAGAUGGCGUGAUGCCCCUAGUUCUGGAGACAGACUAGAAACCCUCGGUCACUAGAAGGCUCCCUUUCAUUGGCAGAAAUCUUCACAGCUGGUUCCCUUCCCUGCCUCCCCAGGUGUUCUUUCCAUCACCUCCCACAAACAUCUGCUGCAAACAGGCCUCUUCCCUUUACACAGAGGCACCCUUCACACUCCUACCUCCACACUUUUGCUUUUCUCUGACCAGAAUCCUCUCUGGCAUGCCUUCCUAGAUCUUCCUCCCCUGGGCAAAUCUCUCCAUCCCUCAAGGUCACUCUCAAGGCUCCCAACCACAAGGCCUUCGUUUCCCA
rnacentral:lncRNA from 1 species